rnacentral:ncRNA from 1 species
CGCACGACACACGGGAGCCCCGGCAGGGGCUGAGAGGUAGCCGACGCCGCUACGACCGUCGAACCUGAUCCCGGGUCAUGCCGGCGGAGGAAGUGGGACUGAUGACAUC